CAUAUCUACAAUGCUUUAGAGAAAAUACAAGAUGAGUUUCCACCUAGGAAACCACAUGGAUUUGAGGACAUCAUAAAUGAUGAUUAAUGGUUAGAAUUUGUCAACUCAAGAUUAACACCAGAGUGGAAAGAUAAGAGAUUACAGAUGUAAGAAUAUCAAGCAAUGAACAAAUACAACCACAACCUAUCUAGAGGAGCUUACGUGCGUGUGGAAGAGAUGCUUCAACAACAGACUCGGCAACUAUUAUCUGAUAUUGAUAGAGCUGACUUAUGGACGAUGGGUCGACCGAAGAAUAAAGAAUGAGAACUUAUUGGAGAGGCUCAUUAUCAAAAGAUAUUGUUUCGGCUAGCGCUAUGAGAAAUGAGUUUGAGGAAAGACUUCGUCAACAAGAAGAAUGACAUCGUCAACAAGAAGCACAUCUAGAAGAACGUUUUCAUAAACAAGAGAAAAUGUUGAGAUCUUUCAUGGGCCAACAGAGCGGUUUAGGAUCCAAUAGUGGAGUCCCACCAUUAGUUCCAAACCCACCGGGGCCAUCUUACUAUGUGCCCGACCCACCAGCACCAUCUUACUAUGUGCCUAACCCUCCAGAGCCAUCAUGCUAUGUGCCCGACCCACCAGCGCCAUCUUACUAUCAACCCGACCCACCAGCACCAUUUGUGCCUGAGGUAAUUUCAAUUUGAUAGUUAAAAAUGACUAUGUAUGUACAUGCAUACACACAUAUAUACAUAAUGCUACUUAUUAUAAUGUGCAUGUAUCUAGUUAUCAGUUAGAUAUUGGUUAGCUAUCGAAUAUUGUUACAUCAGACAAACUCAUUGACAAAGAGUGAGGUAACAACUACCAAGUGGUGAUUACUGACGCUAUUAAGUCGGCGACGCCUCUUCCUUAUGCAAAACUUGAUCAGAAUACGUACAUAGUCAUUCAGGCUAUUGGGCAUCCUAUAUCGUGGCCUAAGGAAUUGGCCAUCGUAUCUGAUGAUAUACAUGAACAGACUUGUUCUAGAAGUAAUAACAUAUCAAAACGACCAAUUACUCCCUCAACACAAUGACCACGAGAAAGGAUACAACGUUUGAGUGAUCUUCUGACACAAGACACCAAUCCGUUGGAGCAGAUAGACAAUAUUAUAUCUCGUUGGGAUGACAACGACUGUGUCAAUCAAGGCAUAGAUGAGGAUGUAUUUGGUCACGAUAUUUCAAGUCUUUACGUAUGCAAAGAGGACAUACUUCAAUUUAUUCGAAUGAAAAAGAUUGGACAAGGAGUUAUUGUUUGCUACAUGAGCCACUAAAGGAAGUUAAUUUGAAGAGCAUGUUCAAGGCCUGUUCAAGCGCUGUCAUCAAUUAAGAUCAAUGAUCAUUGGAUGUUGAUUAUAUUGGCCCCAUAUGCAUAUUACGUUUGUUGUUGUGAUCCGGUGAGAACUCAGAACUGGAAAACCGUGAAGAAAUUGUGGUUGUAAUAGUCAAUGCUUUUAACCUUUUUCUGAUUAGUCUACCAAAACCUUCUGAGAUUCCAAAUAAUAUAGAAAUUGUGCAACCGAAAUGUCCACACCAACCAGACAAUGUGGCAUGUGGAUAUUAUGUGAUAAGAAUGUUGAAGGAUUACAUUGCACAUUCACGACCUGGGCAUUACUUGAAGAAAGAGCUAAACACUACGCCAUACACACCGGCAUAGAUUAAUGAAAUGCAACAACAGUGGGCGAACCAUAUACUACCGAUAAUCCAAAGUCAUCGUCGCAUAUAUUAAGUUUUAGUUUUUGUUUACUUUUUCUUUCUUACUAUAUGUCUAGCUAACUAGUGUAAUAUUUGUUAAUUUUUUAUGUUUAACAACAAAUAUUGCCUUUUAGUAUAUUUAGCUAGCAAAAACAUAUUAUAUAUACAUUUCAGUUUUAUUA